GUUUUCGUAGGUGAACCUGCGAAAGGAUCAUUAU
rnacentral:rRNA from 3 species